GACGAACGCUGGCGGCGUGCCUAAUACAUGCAAGUCGAACGCAGUGGGGACGGGUGAGUAACACGUGGGUAACCUCCCAUCAGAGGGGAUAACACUUGGAAACAGGUGCUAAACCGAUACUGAUGGAUGAACCCGCGGUGCAUUAGCUAGUUGGUGAGGUAACGGCUCACCAAGGCCACGAUGCAUAGCCGACCGGAGAGGGUGAUGGGCGAAACUGGGAAUGAGACACGGCCAAGACUCCUACGGGAGGCAGCAGGAGGGAAGCUUGGGGAAUGGACGAAAGUCUGACCGAGCAACGCCGCGUGAGUGAAGAAGGUUUUCGGAUCGUAAAACUUUGUUGUUAGAGCAGCGGUAUCUAACCAGAAAGCCCCGGCUAACUACGUGCCAGCAGCCGCGGUAAUUC
rnacentral:rRNA from 1 species